CCCUCCAGUCAUCACACCAGCUCUCGCCUCUCAGAGCCUGCCAAGGGUCUGAGAGGCUCUGCUCUCUUUUCUUUUGGCACCUCAAGGAUGUGGGUGCUGGCCCUGCUCUUUCUUCACAGCCAUGCCUCAUGGUCUCCUAACUGGCUCUUUCUGUUGAUGGGUGUUCCCCGAGUCCCCGAGGACAGGUUUGCUAAAGGACAGCUUUUGUUGACCAGGAUGCUCCUCAUUGCCUAGAGUUUGCAGCCUGCCCACUUCAGCCAAAUGACUUUGGGCCUUCCCUCAAGGGAAAACACCCAGGCAGGACUUCCAGAGCUCAGCUUCACCUUCCUACCUGCCUGCCCGUUGCUUCUGGGCACUUAGCCCAGAAGGCACAUACUAUCUACACACCGACUGAACAAAAUACACAAACGAAUGAACUAAUGUGCUCUCCCGGGGCCCCAGCUUCCACAGAUGAACACCAAGACAACAUCAUGCUGUUUCUCUGGCACUAAAGCACCAUCCUCACAUCCAAAGAGGCCUGGAGCCUAAGGCACUAAAGAAUAAAUGACAGAGAGGA